rfam:Helianthus annuus linkage group 13, whole genome shotgun sequence.
AACCCACGGUGUGGACAUUUUCGAAGAAGAUUUUUAAAACGUUCUCAUGUUUCAUAUAAAGAUUCCCCAUCUUUUUUAAGAAAAGAGUUAAUUUCAGUCAAUAGUUU